rnacentral:rRNA from 1 species
AUUGAACGCUGGCGGCAUGCCUUACACAUGCAAGUCGAACGGUAACAGGUCUUCGGAUGCUGACGAGUGGCGAACGGGUAAGUAAUACAUCGGAACGUGCCCGAUCGUGGGGGAUAACGAAGCGAAAGCUAUGCUAAUACCGCAUAAGAUCUACGGAUGAAAGCAGGGGACCGCAAGGCCUUGCGCGAACGGAGCGGCCGAUGGCAGAUUAGGUAGUUGGUGGGAUAAAAGCUUACCAAGCCGACGAUCUGUAGCUGGUCUGAGAGGACGACCAGCCACACUGGGACUGAGACACGGCCCAGACUCCUACGGGAGGCAGCAGUGGGGAAUUUUGGACAAUGGGCGCAAGCCUGAUCCAGCCAUGCCGCGUGCAGGAUGAAGGCCUUCGGGUUGUAAACUGCUUUUGUACGGAACGAAAAGACACUGGUUAAUACCUGGGGCUAAUGACGGUACCGUAAGAAUAAGCACCGGCUAACUACGUGCCAGCAGCCGCCGUAAUAC